CUCACCGUUCCAGCCUGAACGGGCGCCGAUUGGUUGAAAGAUUGACUGGCUGCCGGAUCUAUCCAUUCAGUGGCCGCUAGUGGGAUUAAAUCUCCUCCCACCGAAGGGGCGUGUCUUCAAAAAGGGGCGGGCUACAGCCAACUCUGGGCUGCGCGGCGCAGAGGUAGAGGGCGGUGGGGACGCCAUUUUGUGAAGAGUCCGGAGCGUGGAAGAGGAGAGCGUAGCCGUGAAAGGGAAAUUUUUUUAAAGAAAAAAAAAUUAGUAGUAAGGAAAGGGUCGCGGUACCGGAGCUGGGGGCCUCCCGGGCAGCAAGGCGAAAACCCCCAACCCUUCCUUCACUGGAGCUCAGCUUCGUGGUUUUUUUAAAAUAAUCCCCCCCCUCCCCAACGCACGCACACCCCCUCUCCCCAAUGUCUUAGAGCCAGCCGCUUGUACUAAACGAGCGCCUUCGUGGCUACCCAGCAUUGCCUUGCAGCCAAGCCGUUUGGAUUGAAAGAAGUGCUAAUUUUGGAAAAAAAUCACCUUUUUUUUCCUGCAGCAGCUGGGUUAGGAGGAGGAGGAGGAGGAACCUUUUAGCCUCUCGUGAGUGCAAGUCUCUUGCAGGCAUUUUUAGAGUGCAAAUGGUAUUCCAAGGGCUUGGAUCAUUUCCUGCCGGGAGCUCUUCCCUGCCUGGUUCUGCAGUAACUGGCUGGAACAAGAGCGCGGAAAGGGGGAGAAAGAACAGAGAAAAAAAAAUUGAGAGAAUUUGCUGACUUUGACCUUUUGACGCCUCCCGUUUUUCUAAUCUGGGCUAUUUUUAUUUUUGUUUUUUUACAGUGAGAUUUUUUUGAUCUUCAGCGACAGUAAGUUAUUCCAAUUUUUUUUCCAUAUUUUUUUUCCUGCCUUUCCGACUGAUUUCCUUUUGAUCGUUGUUGCUAGUUACUUAUUGAUAUUAUUGCUACUAUGAUGGUGGUGAGACUGUGACUUUGAUGUGUUGCUGAUGGUGAUGAUUUAAAAAAAAAAAAUGACUGCUGAUUUUUAACCGGAUGAAAAUGGAGUUUUUCUGAGUGGUCCUAGCUGAACUUUGGGUUUUUAACCCCUUGGGUGGGGAAACGCAACAAGGUUUUUAAAACCCAUUUUUUUAUUA